rnacentral:rRNA from 1 species
AUUGAACGCUGGCGGCAGGCCUAACACAUGCAAGUCGAGCGGAUGAAGGGAGCUUGCUCCUGGAUUCAGCGGCGGACGGGUGAGUAAUGCCUAGGAAUCUGCCUUGUAGUGGGGGAUAACGUCCGGAAACGGGCGCUAAUACCGCAUCCGUCCUGAGGGAGAAAGUGGGGGAUCUUCGGACCUCACGCUAUCAGAUGAGCCUAGGUCGGAUUAGCUAGUUGGUGGGGUAAAGGCCUACCAAGGCGACGAUCCGUAACUGGUCUGAGAGGAUGAUCAGUCACACUGGAACUGAGACACGGUCCAGACUCCUACGGGAGGCAGCAGUGGGGAAUAUUGGACAAUGGGCGAAAGCCUGAUCCAGCCAUGCCGCGUGUGUGAAGAAGGUCUUCGGAUUGUAAAGCACUUUAAGUUGGGAGGAAGGGCAGUAAGUUAAUACCUUGCUGUUUUGACGUUACCAACAGAAUAAGCACCGGCUAACUUCGUG